rnacentral:rRNA from 1 species
CGGGGGUUAUGGUAGUGCGGGAAGCACGGGGACUCGUAUUAAUACCGCAUACGACCUACGGGAGAAAGGGGGCAGUUUACUGCUCUCGCUAUUAGAUGAGCCUAAGUCGGAUUAGCUAGAUGGUGGGGUAAAGGCCUACCAUGGCGACGAUCUGUAGCUGGUCUGAGAGGAUGAUCAGCCACACCGGGACUGAGACACGGCCCGGACUCCUACGGGAGGCAGCAGUGGGGAAUAUUGGACAAUGGGGGAAACCCUGAUCCAGCCAUGCCGCGUGUGUGAAGAAGGCCUUUUGGUUGUAAAGCACUUUAAGCAGUGAAGAAGACUCCAUGGUUAAUACCCAUGGACGAUGACAUUAGCUGCAGAAUAAGCACCGGCUAACUCUGUGCCAGCAGCCGCGGUAAUACAGAGGGUGCAAGCGUUAAUCGGAAUUACUGGGCGUAAAGGGAGCGUAGGUGGCUCUAUAAGUCAGAUGUGAAAUCCCCGGGCUUAACCUGGGAACUGCAUCUGAAACUGUAGAGCUAGAGUAUGUGAGAGGAAGGUAGAAUUCCAGGUGUAGCGGUGAAAUGCGUAGAGAUCUGGAGGAAUACCGAUGGCGAAGGCAGCCUUCUGGCAUAAUACUGACACUGAGGCUCGAAAGCGUGGGUAGCAAACAGGAUUAGAUACCCUGGUAGUCCACGCCGUAAACGAUGUCUACUAGUCGUUGGGUCCCUUGAGGACUUAGUGACGCAGCUAACGCAAUAAGUAGACCGCCUGGGGAGUACGGGCCGCAAGGUUAAAACUCAAAUGAAAUUGACGGGGGGCCCGCACAAGCGGUGGAGCAUGGUGGUUUAAUUCGAUGCAACGCGAGAAACCUUACCUGGGUCUUGAACAAUAUCUAGAAUUCCUUGCAGAGGAUGCCGGGAGGUGGCCUUUCGGGAAUUAGAAUACAAGGGUGCUGCAUGGCCUGUUCGUCAGCCUCGUGUCGUGGAGAUGUUUGGGUAAAGUCCCGCCACCGAGCGCAAACCCUGUCCUAGUACCAGCGGGUUAAGCCGGAACUCUUAGAUACUGCCAAGUGACAACUGAGGAUGGCCGGGGACGACGUAGUCAUCAUGCCUACGAACAGGGCUUACAACGUGCUCUA